UACAGAGGGUGCGAGCGUUGUUCGGAAUUAUUGGGCGUAAAGCGCUUGUAGGCGGCUUGUUAAGUUCCGUGUGAAAUCCCCAGGCUUAACCUGGGAAGUGCGCGGAAAACUGGCGAGCUUGAGUGCCGGAGAGGGUCGCGGAAUUCCCGGUGUAGAGGUGAAAUUCGUAGAUAUCGGGGAGGAACACCAGUGGCGAAGGCGGCGACCUGGACGGACACUGACGCUGAGACGCGAAAGCGUGGGGAGCAAGCAGG
rnacentral:rRNA from 1 species